CAGUGCUUUCGCCUCUCUCUCUUUUCUUAGGUUCCGUAUGGGCUUCAUACGGUGCAAAAAACUGAACCCCUUCUCUCUGUUUCACGCACAGGCCAUUUUAAAGGGUUAAAACCCAAUUAGAUUAGGUUUAAGAGUCCUUAAUCAACCCAAAUCAGGUUCUGAACCGUCGGAUCAAAAAAUAGAUCAACCAACGCCCUCC
rnacentral:lncRNA from 1 species